rnacentral:rRNA from 1 species
UACGUAGGGUGCGAGCGUUAAUCGGAAUUACUGGGCGUAAAGCGUGCGCAGGCGGUUUUGUAAGCCAGAUGUGAAAUCCCCGGGCUUAACCUGGGAAUGGCAUUUGGGACUGCAAGGCUGGAGUGUGGCAGAGGAGACUGGAAUUCCCGGUGUAGCAGUGAAAUGCGUAGAUAUCGGGAGGAAUACCGAUGGCGAAGGCAGGUCUCUGGGCUGACACUGACGCUGAGGAGCGAAAGCGUGGGUAGCAAACAGG